UACGGAGGGGGCGAGCGUUGUCCGAAGUUACUGGGCGUAAAGCGCGUGUAGGCGGGUUGCCAAGUCCGCUGUGAAAGCCCGAGGCUCAACCUCGGAGGGUCGGUGGAUACUGGCAGUCUUGAAGUGGCUAGGGGGAGAUGGAAUUACCGGUGUAGCGGUGAAAUGCGUAGAGAUCGGUAGGAACACCAGUGGCGAAGGCGGUCUCCUGGAGCUAACUUGACACUGAGACGCGAAAGCUGGGGGAGCGAACGGG
rnacentral:rRNA from 1 species